UUCCAGGUGUGGGUACCAGCACUGCAUUCCUCUCCUCAGUCAGCCCAACCCACUGCUCCACCAGCCGAGCUUCCCGCUCCAUGUCCUCCUCAGACUUUUCUGGGUGCGAGCGAUACUCGCGGCGUUUGAUAAGGGCGUCUGACCAGCGCUCUCUAAUGCAGUUGAGAUCCUCCUCCUGGAAGCAGACAGACGCUGGAAUCAAGGUCAGCCGGAUGAGUGAGAAAGAUGGUGGUGCAGAGAAGUGCUCGCAGGGAGGUUUGAGUGUUUAUGAAGCUCAAUAUCCUAACUAAAUCCCACUCUUUUGGUGUAUUGUUUAUUGUAUCUCUCUUUCUAUCGCUUAUCUGUUUAUGUGGUCUCCCGCUAGCUUACAGCCCCUCACACCCCCAACCUAACAUCACCGGAAGCAACAAAAAUGGCGAGCAAUGUUUGAGCUAUCCAGCCAUACAGUUUUAAGCCAGAUGCCAGCUCAGACGAGGAAAACAAAGGCGUACGUGGAUUUAGUCGUCUUCGAGUGGCUGCAUCAGAACAGAGCGGAGCAGGGAGCUUUUGGCCCGCCAAUUGUAGCUUCUAUGUAAUGACUAUAAGCUUUUUUCAACGCCAUUGUUUUCGUCUGCUCCUGAUUCACAACAACUCAAAUAAAAAAUGUUCACAAAUGCA